rnacentral:snRNA from 1 species
AGAUUUGAGGGCAAUCUGGCUGUGACAUCUAUCAUCCCAUUGAUCACCAGGGUUGAUUCAGCUGAUCUAGCUGGCUAGGCAGGUGUUCCCUUCUUCCCUCACCGCUACAUGCAUGUCCCUCCUGAAGCUGCAUUCUCGAUCAAAGAGGACGACCUUCCCCAAUAGAGGAGGACUGUUCUUUCAUCAAGGGUAUAUGAGUAGCUGCACUUGCCUGCUAGACCCUCCAAACGAGCUCUCAAAGGCAGCAGAAACCAUCAUAAAGUUGGUAUACACACACUCUUGAUAGCCAUGCUUCAUCUUUGA